rnacentral:rRNA from 1 species
UCAUAUCUCUACGCAUGCCGCGGCACACCCUCUGCCCCGAACGUCGGCGGCGGUACUGCCGCUCCAUCUGCUCGGCACCGAGCCCUACCAAGACGCGGGGACUAGACACCGAAUCCUUCGAUCGAAAGGCCGUCCGUCGCAAUACCCGCCUUCAUUUUCUAUUCCGGCUCAACAGAGGGUAGAGACCUACUCCUAAGGACAAGCGGUAACAGCGAACACGUCUAGACGCCACCUCGUUUUGGUCCGCCUCUAAACAACCCUACCUCAAGAACGACGUCGGCUAAUCCUCGUGACGCCACUACCUUCUUCACUUACUGUCGGUCGAAGGCUACCUCGGCGAAGUGAUGGGCCACUACCGGUGACUUCGACUCGUCGAGGGCCGGUACCGCCGACCAUCACAACUCCCCGUCUAGACACGCCGGCUCCCCCCUCGGCAUCCACUGCACCUUCGACUCGGCGUCCGAAGACUCGUUAGUUAUCCUGUCUAACUAGGAUUCUGAGGUCCUACCUGAGCGUCCCAUUCUUAACCUCGUCGACGUGGGCCUUCUCGUAGCACGGGACCCGCUUAUUCACGGGAACUCUUCCGCUAUGCCCCCAAACGACUAGUCGGUCCCCUGUACCAUUAACAGGGUCUUGAACCAUGUUCGAAGCUAUGCGAUCCUCCGCAUACUGAAAAUGUUAGAGAUAAGCACCCUCUUCCCAAAGCCUUAAUCUAUGUCGUUCUCAUCCAACUUACACCUCUCUUGUUUUACGUACGUUCUUUAACAUACACCUACACGCCCGUUUCGACCACACCUCUUGUGCUCCAGCACAUCUACGCUCACGGGACGUAAUUAUUCUGAGGAGGCUAGUUUUCUGUUGCCAACCAUAUAUCGUCUCGUAGCACUUGUCGUCUUGGUACAUAACAGAGGUUGCAUACCUGUCUGUUAUGUGACCGGUAGCGUGUUCGUGUAACUACGGAUGUCGUCCCUGAACCACCUCGUCAACGCCGUCUUGUUACACUUGGACCGUUUUCACGUGUCGUAGUAGCCGUCAAAAAAACAAGUUACCUCUUCCACGGAAAGUGCUUCGCUCGAGACUUCUUAAACACACCGUUUUAGUCGUCUAUCAUCCGUCUUCUACUACAAUCCUUUUGGUACCUCCAAAAACGUCUAAACCCAAGCGCACUAGGCGUAAAGUGCAUGGCUCACCUUCGUCUGUUACUUCCAGCCUAUUCGUGAGAAUACACCCGUUUACCAUCGUCGUCUAACGUCAUGUGUAAGAAGUCGCUGCACCAAUGGAAGCUAUGCUGUAUGUCCUGUUUAUACAUGUUGUACGGGAAACCGGACAAAUAUCCACACUUAUUAGUAAAGGUCUCGUAGUAGGAUCGAUCCCAAAACCACACACUGUUUUUUCACCUCUGGAAACUCACCCAGAAGUGUCUCAAACAAGCCUACUACCCGCCUUCAAGUGGCUUCUGUUAAGAUUAACUAGUCUUGGCAAGCUACCUCCACCGGUAUUUUUUACACAACGGCGUAUGCCGUGUGUCUACCACGUUCACCGUACAGAAGUUCUUCCGAUUUCUUAGUGAUCCUAACAACAUGUGGUUCUUUUCGCUUAAGUCCCGUCUCAAGGUGUUUCAUCACUUAGCG